CAGCUUGGCAGCUCCUGCAUUGAGCGUAUGCCCCCUGGUGGUCAGUGCGCGUCAUAGCUACUGGCCAGUUGGCCGGUCGCUUCGGCCUUUAUCUAUAUAGAUUUAGUUAGGUGUUCUGUAUAAUGUGUUGUAAAAUUUGGGCAAAGGUUUUUUCUUUUAUUAUUUUAAGAAUUCAAAUAUUAAAAAAUAUUAGCUAGUUAAAAAUAGCAUAACUAGAUUCCUAUGUAAAUUCCAAAUAAGAGUAGCAGAUCUCACCUUUGAAGUGUUACUGAAAUUUCCUUUGGGACAGACAGCGAGUAGGAAUUUCUUUUUCCUCUUAAAGAAGAAGAAAAGUGUAUCAGGUGGAGGACAGAAUGUUGACUCAGGGUAGCACAUUAAAUGGAGAGAAACAGUCUGGUGGAUAUGUCAGAACAGUGGUUUCCAGACUAGUUCAUGACCAGGAUUACUCAGAACUGGGUCUCAGACUUGAUUGCACAUUGAAAUAACCUGGGAGACUUUCAAUGUAUUGAUUUUAAAAAAAGACACACUAAAAAAAUCUACUGAUGCCUUGGUUCUUCCCCCAGAGUUUUGACUUAUCGAUCUGAUGUGCAACAUAGAUUAUGGGAUUUUUUAGACCUUCCAAUGUUUUGACUCUAACAUGUAACGAAGGUUGAGAACCCACCUUGGAAGGAUUUUUAGACUGAGAUUCCUGAACUGGGUCCCAGAACUAAUAAGUCAAAUCUUUGGGAAUCGACGAAGAAUCUAAUUUGAAAAGAUUCCUUCCCUUAGUGUAGUUAUAAGGACUGACCAGUUUGGAUACGACUUUGUGAGAUUAAAAUGGUUUGGUACCUAAUGUCACCUACCCAUCUACCUUUCCAGGUUCCUUUUGAAUUCCAUGUCUUUCCCGUGUUUUGCACCUUUGAGAAGAAAUUGACCACCUGGGCUAUGGAACUGUGCGUAACAGCUUUUAAAGUGUAUCUAAAAAUUAAGUGUAUAUGCACUUAAAUUAGUUUACUGGACAUAUAUUAUGUGUAUUUUAAUCAGCUUUCUAUAUAAUAAAUUAUUUUUUCACUAAAA